UUAUGAUUAGUGGCGCACGGGUGAGUAAUAUAUAGGUAAUGUACCUCUUAGUCUGGGAUAGCCACUGGAAACGGUGAUUAAUACCGGAUACUCCUUCUAGCUUUAAGGCUAGUCGGGAAAGUUUUUUCGCUAAGGGAUCGGUCUAUAUCCUAUCAGCUAGUUGGUGAGGUAAUGGCUCACCAAGGCAAUGACAGGUAGCGGGUUUGAGAGGAUGAUCCGCCACACUGGUACUGAGACACGGACCAGACUCC
rnacentral:rRNA from 1 species